rnacentral:rRNA from 1 species
AAGAGACAGCAGUCGCCGCGGUAAUACGUAGGUGGCAAGCGUUGUCCGGAAUUAUUGGGCGUAAAGGACUCGCAGGCGGUUUCUUAAGUCUGAUGUGAAAGCCCCCGGCUCAACCGGGGAGGGUCAUUGGAAACUGGGAAACUUGAGUGCAGAAGAGGAGAGUGGAAUUCCACGUGUAGCGGUGAAAUGCGUAGAGAUGUGGAGGAACACCAGUGGCGGAGGCGACUCUCUGGUCUGUAACUGACGCUGAGGAGCGAAAGCGUGGGGAGCAAACAGGAUUAGAUACCCGCGUAGUCCCUGUCUCUUAUAC